AUUGAACGCUGGCGGCAGGCCUAACACAUGCAAGUCGAGCGAGCGGCGGACGGGGGAGUAAUGUAUGGGGACUGCCCGAUAGAGGGGGAUAACUACUGGAAACGGUAGCUAAUAACGCAUACUAUCGGAUAACCCAUAUGGGAUUAGCUAGUAGGUGAGGUAAUGGCUCACCUAGGCGACGAUCCCUAGCUGGUGUGAGAGGAUGAUCAGCCACACUGGAACUGAGACACGGCCCAGACGCCUACGGAGGCAGCAGUGGGGAAUAUUGCACAAGGGGCGCAAGCCUGAGACAUCCAUGCCGCGUGUAUGAAGAAGGCCUUAGGGUUGUAAAGUACUUUCAGUCGGGAGGCGUUACCGGCAGAAGAAGCACCGGCUAACUCCGUGCCAGCAGCCGCGGUAAUAC
rnacentral:rRNA from 1 species